rnacentral:pre_miRNA from 1 species
UUUGAGCUCUAGCUGCUGAUUGUCCAAACGCAAUUCUUGUAAAAUUCAAGAAUCCAAGCCGAGAAUUGUGCCUGGACAUCUGUUGCUGGAAGCUCC